GUUUGUUCAGACCUGGCAGCUGCAGCCUUCUGUGAGAGGUCCCUCCUGAAAGCCACAUGCACAAAGGGAAGCAUGGAGAUAAUGCAUCUGGAUGAUCUUCGAGGGUAGACCCGAGUAAGAACACAUUUCAUCAAUCCAACUUGGAGGUGCUACAGACCUGGAUAACUGUGGCAAUGUCUGCAACAGAGAAGAUCCUUAAAGCACAGAUUGGAGAGAUCCUCAGCUGGGGUAAAUCAGUGCUGUAUCUUCAGAGGUCACCUUGUGAUGAGGUGCUUUACCUGACACAGGACAGACUUGAAGUGGAGUAAAGGCAAGGGGGCCAGAUUCUCCUCUUAUUUACACUGGUGAAAAUCAGGACCGACUCUACUGAAGCACUGGAGCUACACCCAGGUAAA